GGGAUUCCCUUAUGAGUCCUCCAUAGAGAACUGUUUCACUGGCAUACAGGACCACCACUACAACUUCCUGGAUGUUUUUUUGAGCUGAUUUUCUUCAGUACUUUAUAAAUGGCUCAAAACCUCAGCCAUUUAAGGGAGGUUUCUUGGAGCGCCUGCUUGCGCUCUUCAGCAUGUGGGACGUGGACGUGUGGGAGCCUGCAGCAGAGCUGUACUUCACAG